GGAUGUGAGGGUGAUCUGGCUGCAACAUCUGUCACCCCAUUGAUUGCCAGGGUUGAUUCAGCUGAUCCAGCUGGCUAGACGGGUGUCCCCUUCCUCCCUCACUGAUCCAUGUGUGUCUGUCACAAAGCUGCACACUCGGUUGAAGAGGACAACCAUCCCCGAUAGAGGAGGACUAGUCUUCUUUCCAGGGUAUAGGAGUAGCUGCGCUCCCCUGCUGGAACUUUCAAACAAGUUCUCAAGAUUGAAAAUUAUUAAAUCAUUUAUUCAUUCAUUUUGUACUAUUUUUAAACCAUUUAUAUUGAAAUAAUUA
rnacentral:snRNA from 1 species